rnacentral:rRNA from 1 species
UACGAAGGGGGCUAGCGUUGCUCGGAAUCACUGGGCGUAAAGCGCACGUAGGCGGCUUGUUAAGUCAGGGGUGAAAUCCUGGAGCUCAACUCCAGAACUGCCUUUGAUACUGGCGAGCUUGAGUUCGGGAGAGGUGAGUGGAACUGCGAGUGUAGAGGUGAAAUUCGUAGAUAUUCGCAAGAACACCAGUGGCGAAGGCGGCUCACUGGCCCGGUACUGACGCUGAGACGCGAAAGCGUGGGGAGCAAACAGG